rnacentral:rRNA from 1 species
AACGAACGCUGGCGGCAUGCCUAACACAUGCAAGUCGAACGAAGGCUUCGGCCUUAGUGGCGCACGGGUGCGUAACGCGUGGGAAUCUGCCCUUGGGUUCGGAAUAACUCAGAGAAAUUUGAGCUAAUACCGGAUGAUGACGUAAGUCCAAAGAUUUAUCGCCCAAGGAUGAGCCCGCAUAAGAUUAGCUAGUUGGUGGGGUAAAGGCCUACCAAGGCGACGAUCUUUAGCUGGUCUGAGAGGAUGAUCAGCCACACUGGGACUGAGACACGGCCCAGACUCCUACGGGAGGCAGCAGUGGGGAAUAUUGGACAAUGGGCGAAGGCCUGAUCCAGCAAUGCCGCGUGAGUGAUGAAGGCCUUAGGGUUGUAAAGCACUUUACCAGGGAUGAUAAUGACAGUACCUGGAGAAUAAGCUCCGGCUAACUCCGUGCCAGCAGCCGCGGUAAAAUAUCGUACG